CAGCCAUGCCGCGUGAAGGAUGACGGCCUUCGGGUUGUAAACUGCUUUUGUCAGGGAAAAAAUCUUCUGGGCUUGUACCCCGGGAGGAGGACCGUACCUGAAGAGUAAGCACCAGCUCCUUGCCUG
rnacentral:rRNA from 1 species